GCCUUCGUGGUGUAAUGGUCAGCACACUGAGCCGGUAUUUCAGAGGUCCGCGGUUCGAUCCCCGGCGAAGGAC
rfam:Stegodyphus mimosarum contig36272, whole genome shotgun sequence.